GGGGCAGAUCCUUUCGGUAGCAAAAUCAAUUUUAUCCGCUGCGAAAUUUAUUAAGGUACAUACUGUUUUGCUCCAUAAUUUACUAUCAAUGGUAUCAGAGCUAGGUUUAUUGCCCUAAUUCUGCAUGCAAUAUCUCGAUUUUAAGUGUAGAAAUAGAAAAUUGAACUAGCACACACAUGCAAGAAAAAUUGUUGACUGCCGGUAAG
rnacentral:lncRNA from 1 species